GGAGAGGGAGCCUGAGAAACGGCUACCACAUCCAAGGAUGGCAGCAGGCGCGCAAAUUACCCAAUCCCGACACGGGGAGGUAGUGACAAUAAAUAACAAUACGGGGUUCUUUAGGAUCUCGUAAUUGGAAUGAGUACAAUUUAAAUCUCUUAACGAGGAACAAUUGGAGGGCAAGUCUGGUGCCAGCAGCCGCGGUAAUUCCAGCUCCAAUAGCGUAUAUUAAAGUUGUUGCAGUUAAAAAGCUCGUAGUUGAAUUUCGGGGUUAGUAGGUUGGUCAUGCCUCUGGUAUGUACUGGUCUCACUGAUUCCUCCUUCCUUAUGAACCGUAAUGCCAUUAAUUUGGUGUUGCGGGGAAUUUGGACUGUUACUUUGAAAAAAUUAGAGUGUUUAAAGCAAGCUAACGCUUGAAUACAUUAGCAUGGAAUAAUGAAAUAGGACGUUCGAUCUUAUUUUGUUGGUUUCUAGGAUUGACGUAAUGAUUAAUAGGGAUAGUUGGGGGCAUUAGUAUUCAAUUGUCAGAGGUGAAAUUCUUGGAUUUAUUGAAGACUAACUACUGCGAAAGCAUUUGCCAAGGAUGUUUUCAUUAAUCAAGAACGAAAGUUAGGGGAUCGANNNCGAUCAGNUACCGUCGUAGNCUUAACCAUAAACUAUGCCGACUAGGGAUCGGAUGAUGUUAAUUUUUUAAUGACUCAUUCGGCGCCUUACGGGAAACCA
rnacentral:rRNA from 1 species